UCCCCAGGUACUCGUGAGUCCUUCCCUCCCAGACCCAGGGCACUUGGAAACCCAACCACUGUGAGCUGUGCCCUAUGGCAGCCCUUCACUGCUGUGUCUCCUGCAGGGGAUCUCCUGGCUCCUGCUCUCCAAAUCAACUCAACUUCUGCUCAUCCGGGUACCAGAGUUGUGCUCCAGUGUAUUCUCCCUAUGGUGUCACCUGUAAUACGAUUCAUCUUCUGCAAGGAUGGGAAGGAGCUGUACAGCCAGAAAGCCCAUCAAAGGCAGCUGAGCUACUCCGUGGUCCUGAACAUCCCAUCAAAAAUCACAGGAAUACAUGUAUUUACAUGUGGAUACCAGGCGUUAAAUGAGAAGAAACAUAUGAGGAGCUCUGCCCUCAGUGCUGGCCAAAUCCUGGAUGUCCCUGGCAGAGUGACCGCCUCCACAACAUGGCCAUCAUUGCCAGGCAAUGUGGUGAGUUCCCCAGCAAAUCCAUCAUCCCCAGCCCCAUAUGCCUUGAUCCCGCACGCCCUCCCCAAAACCAUGGCGCUGGCAGUGGCGGCCGUCAGCCUCGUCCUCCUGGCUGCAGGCAGCUGGUUUGCCAUCAGGAAAGGCAGCAGCACGUUGACAGCCCACAGAUUGAAACCACAGACCAUGAUGAAGUCACAUGUGAGUACUACCUCCUCCCUUGGCGGAAGCCAUGCAUCCAUCUCAGGUGGAAUCCCACCACUUCAUUUCCCACUGGGAUAUACAAAAUCCCUGCCUGUUCAUCAAGGCCAGGUUUCUCUCCAGCACCUCAUGUCCUGCUUCUUCCUUGCAUGCAGAGCACGGCUGCUGGCUGCACAAGGGACAUGGCAGCAUCCCAGUGCUCCCAGGGACAAAGACCCAUUACUUGGGGCUCCUUCCACACCAGCUCCAGCCCCUGGCUGCAUUCCCCAUGCUUCAGCCUCUUCUUUUUUCCUUUCUUCCGUUUCUCUUCAGUGUCAUUUCUGCUUCAAUAACUACACAAAGUACAUCACAGCAACGAAAGCUGUCGCUCUGUUUCCUUGCACUGCUGGGGAAAAUAUUUUAUAGCUCAUUCUGAAACCACAGGCAGCAGCCAAGGGAGGAUGUUGUGGUUGGGCGACAGGCUAUAGAUAUAUCACCACCUGAUUUGCACUUAGGACGAGUUGCGGCACAACCUUGUUUACCCACGCCUGCAGAGAGCAGUUUGCAAGGUGUGUUGGCUGUGCAAAGAGAGGCGAUGCCACAGAAUGGUGGAAAGACACCAAAACCUCAGCAUCUCUGCUCCACUGCUGCUUAAUUCACGUCCCAGAUCAGGGUGAUGGGAGGGGAAAUGUGGUCAGGCAUUGAGUUUUAACCCCAGGCAGAUGAUACCCAAAGCUCACGGGGGUUCACCCCCCUCCAAUCCGCAAGGGCUCAUGGUGUGUUUUUUCCCCACAGACUCCACCAUCGCCCAUGUUCGACGAGACAGGGUGAGUCGUGGCACAGCUGUGCACAGCUCCUUUCUGCACUCCUGCAGCCUGGUGCACGCACAUUGUGCAGGGCUCACAGUCACACCUGAAGUAACAGGGUUUCUUUUCUCCCUAAAGCCUCGUCCUGUGCAGCACAUGAGCGACACCACGACGUAUGCCACGGUGAUCUGCACCCAGACCUGAUAGAGCUGCCACAGGGCAAGGGCACAGGAGCCUUGUCCACAGCUGCCUUUGCUCUCCUGUAGAGUUCUUGUGCAGUCAUAUCAUGGGGCUGAGGGUUCCACUUUGGGCUUCUCUGGGGUUUUCUGUCACAGGGAAGGGCUGUGUGUGUCUAGCCAAGAGGAUGAAGGACUCAUAUGUCUUUUAUUAAUAAAUUAAUACCUCUAAAAUAUAUCA
rnacentral:lncRNA from 1 species